rfam:Triticum aestivum genome assembly, contig: Triticum_aestivum_CS42_TGACv1_scaffold_034120_1BL
GCUCAGUUGGUAAAGCACAAGGCUUUUAACCUUGUGGACGUGGAUUCAAGUCCCAU